rnacentral:rRNA from 1 species
CCUACGGGUGGCUGCAGUGGGGAAUAUUGGACAAUGGGCGAAAGUCUGAUCCAGCCAUGCCGCGUGUGUGAAGAAGGCCUUCGGGUUGUAAAGCACUUUCAGUGGGGAAGAAAGCCUUGGGGCUAAUACCCUCGAGGAAGGACAUCACCCACAGAAGAAGCACCGGCUAACUCCGUGCCAGCAGCCGCGGUAAUACGGAGGGUGCGAGCGUUAAUCGGAAUUACUGGGCGUAAAGCGCGCGUAGGCGGUCUGAUAAGCCGGUUGUGAAAGCCCCGGGCUCAACCUGGGAACGGCAUCCGGAACUGUCAGGCUAGAGUGCAGGAGAGGAAGGUAGAAUUCCCGGUGUAGCGGUGAAAUGCGUAGAGAUCGGGAGGAAUACCAGUGGCGAAGGCGGCCUUCUGGACUGACACUGACGCUGAGGUGCGAAAGCGUGGGUAGCAAACAGGAUUAGAUACCCCGGUAGUC